UUUCUCUUCUUUUUCUCCAAUCUCUUUAUCUAAACAAAAAACCCUAAAUCUCCACCAUGAAUCCCGCAUAGUUGCCAAAAUCUAAGGUGCUUUUCUAUUCCAGUUUGUUUCGUCUUCGAUUUGGUAGAUCCACAAGUGUUUUCAUCGGGAAUUCUGUUUAAAUUUUUUAUUUUGAAGCGCGAGUUCCGUGAUUUCAUCAGCAGAUCCGUGAGCUUUUGUGAUUCUAUUUUAAUUUUUUGAAGCGUGAUUCUGUUUAAUUUUUUGAUUUCGUAUGCAUGCACGUCUGCCGUCGGGAUUCCGUUGCGUUGUUCGCAUAUUAGCCGUUGCUGCCGGGAUUCCGCCGCGCUGCUACCCCUCUUCCUCUCCGCCGUCGCUGCGCAUUCUUCCUCUGUCGCUCGGCAUUCUUCCUCUGUCGCUCGACCACUUCAAUUCGUCCAAAGUCAGAAACAUCUCAUGGAAACCUAGGAUCUCAUUCCACUGCUGGGGCAGACUCGAAUGCUGUAGUUUUUGAUAGAUCAUCAGCCAAGUAGUAUCUACUCUCACUGGCCACUCAAAGAAGGUUACAAGAGUCAAAUUUGCUGCAGAAGGUGAAUUAGUGGUUACUAGCUCUGCUGAUAAGUUGUUCGUUGCUAACUUUCUCUGAGCAUUUGAUGCAAACUUCUCUCCUUUUAGGUUUGUGGUAGAAUUGUAGUUGAUUUGUCGCUGCAGAUCCCCCUCCUCCCCUGCCUCUAUCGCCGCUCCCCUCAGCUCUUCCCGACCCUACUCGUGGUUUGUGGUAGAAUUGUAGCUGAUCUGUCGCUGCUGGACGUGUUUUACUUGUAUCAGGCUCCAAUCACCCCAAUCCCAUUUAAAUGCCUAGAGGAGGAUUUACCGGACGACUUAGAGGAGCCUCAUCCUGUGGCACACCUCUUAAGGAACUAGAGGACGUUCCUCCCGAGCUAGAGAAACUCUUCACACUUUUUAACGCAGUCGAAGGGGAAGAAGAAGGGGAAGAAGAAAUGGAAGAAGGCGAAGAAGAAAGGAAAGAAGGGGGUGAUGACAUCCUGUGUUGCAUUUGAUGUAACAGCCAAAAAAAUGGGAAAGCUCCCUCCAUUUUGGGACCUAUUUCUCAAGACUCAUAGGCUAAAGGACUCACACGAGUUAUGUUCACAAGAAGCCAAAGAAAUUGAGUUCAUGAGAUCUCAUGAGAUUUCUCAAGCAACGACUACAGCCUUUGCAUCAAGAGAUCGCAGAAUUGUGGGAACUCGUAAAUGUCCUUAUUCAGCAAGUCCAAGGAAGAGUGGCUAAAUAGAUUUGAACUAAAUUGUGGGAGAUUUCAUGUUUAUGAUGGGAUGCAAAAUACAGUUAGUAUUUGUUUGAACUAAUCUUGUUUAAUCUGAAAAAUGGAUUGAAUUGAAGUGUGAAAUAAUAUUUUGUUUUGUAUCUAUAUAAAAUUUGAAUUUUCGUCA